rnacentral:rRNA from 1 species
CUACCACAUCCAAGGAAGGCAGCAGGCGCGCAAAUUACCCACUCCCGGCACGGGGAGGUAGUGACGAAAAAUAACAAUACGGGACUCUUUUGAGACCCCGUAAUUGGAAUGAGUACACUCUAAAUCCUUUAACGAGGAUCUAUUGGAGGGCAAGUCUGGUGCCAGCAGCCGCGGUAAUUCCAGCUCCAAUAGCGUAUAUUAAAGUUGUUGCGGUUAAAAAGCUCGUAGUUGGAUCUCAGUUCCAGACGGGCGGUCCUCCUAACGGUGGUUACUGCCUGGCCUGAACAGCCAGCCGGUUUCCCUAGAUGAUCUUCACCGGUUGUCUUGGGUGACCGGCACGUUUACUUUGAAAAAAUUAGAGUGCUCAAAGCAGGCGUGUAGCCUGAAUAAUGGUGCAUGGAAUAAUGGAAUAGGACUUCGUUUCUAUUUUGUUGGUUUUCGGAACACGAGGUAAUGAUUAAGAGGGACAGACGGGGGCAUUCGUAUUGCGACGCUAGAGGUGAAAUUCUUGGACCGUCGCAAGACGAACU